rnacentral:rRNA from 1 species
UACAGAGGGGGCAAGCGUUGUUCGGAAUUACUGGGCGUAAAGGGCGCGUAGGCGGCCUGUUAAGUCAGACGUGAAAUCCCCGGGCUCAACCCGGGAACUGCGUCUGAUACUGGCAGGCUUGAAUCCGGGAGAGGGAUGCGGAAUUCCAGGUGUAGCGGUGAAAUGCGUAGAUAUCUGGAGGAACACCGGUGGCGAAGGCGGCAUCCUGGACCGGCAUUGACGCUGAGGCGCGAAAGCGUGGGGAGCGAACAGG